AGCUUCGGCCACCCCGCCUGGUUCCACGCCCGAUCUCGUUUGAUCUCGGAAGCUAAGAUAGGUUGGGCCUGGUUAGUACUUGGAUGGGAGACCGCCUGGGAUUACCAGGUGCUGUAAACU
rnacentral:rRNA from 1 species